rnacentral:tRNA from 1 species
GGAAAAGUGGCAGAGUGGUCGAAUGCACCGCACUCGAAAUGCGGCAACCCAUUUUUUGGGUUCGGGGGUUCGAAUCCCCCCUUUUCCG